rnacentral:rRNA from 1 species
AUACGGAGGAUGCAAGCGUUAUCCGGAUUUAUUGGGUUUAAAGGGUGCGCAGGCGGGAGAUUAAGUCGGCGGUGAAAUUUUGCAGCUCAACUGUAAAAGUGCCUUCGAAACUGGUUUCCUUGAGUGUAGAUGAAGUAGGCGGAAUUUGUGGUGUAGCGGUGAAAUGCAUAGAUAUCACGAGGAACUCCGAUUGCGCAGGCAGCUUACUAAACUACUACUGACGCUCAGGCACGAAGGCGUGGGGAUCAAACAGGAUUAGAUACCCUGGUAGUCCACGCAGUAAACGAUGAUUACUAGCUGUUUGCGAUACAAUGUAAGCGGCUGAGCGAAAGCGUUAAGUAAUCCACCUGGGGAGUACGUUCGCAAGAAUGAAACUCAAAGGAAUUGACGGGG